GCAGAAAAGAAGAGAAACACGCAGCGAAAAGAGAAAAGCAUCCGCUGACUGACUGACAAUUUUUGUUUUCGCCCUUUGCUUCUUUCUGUGUUUUCUCUCCUUCUUUUU
rnacentral:ribozyme from 1 species